rnacentral:rRNA from 1 species
AUUGAACGCUGGCGGCAGGCCUAACACAUGCAAGUCGAGCGGUAGCACAGGGAGCUUGCUCCUGGGUGACGAGCGGCGGACGGGUGAGUAAUGUCUGGGAAACUGCCUGAUGGAGGGGGAUAACUACUGGAAACGGUAGCUAAUACCGCAUAAUGUCGCAAGACCAAAGAGGGGGACCUUCGGGCCUCUUGCCAUCAGAUGUGCCCAGAUGGGAUUAGCUAGUAGGUGGGGUAACGGCUCACCUAGGCGACGAUCCCUAGCUGGUCUGAGAGGAUGACCAGCCACACUGGAACUGAGACACGGUCCAGACUCCUACGGGAGGCAGCAGUGGGGAAUAUUGCACAAUGGGCGCAAGCCUGAUGCAGCAAUGCCGCGUGUAUGAAGAAGGCCUUCGGGUUGUAAAGUACUUUCAGCGGGGAGGAAGGUGUUGAGGUUAAUAACCUCAGCAAUUGACGUUACCCGCAGAAGAAGCACCGGCUAACUCCGUGCCAGCCGCCGCGGUAAUAC